rnacentral:rRNA from 1 species
AAGAAGCUUGCUUCUUUGCUGACGAGUGGCGGACGGGUGAGUAAUGUCUGGGAAACUGCCUGAUGGAGGGGGAUAACUACUGGAAACGGUAGCUAAUACCGCAUAACGUCGCAAGACCAAAGAGGGGGACCUUCGGGCCUCUUGCCAUCGGAUGUGCCCAGAUGGGAUUAGCUAGUAGGUGGGGUAACGGCUCACCUAGGCGACGAUCCCUAGCUGGUCUGAGAGGAUGACCAGCCACACUGGAACUGAGACACGGUCCAGACUCCUACGGGAGGCAGCAGUGGGGAAUAUUGCACAAUGGGCGCAAGCCUGAUGCAGCCAUGCCGCGUGUAUGAAGAAGGCCUUCGGGUUGUAAAGUACUUUCAGCGGGGAGGAAGGGAGUAAAGUUAAUACCUUUGCUCAUUGACGUUACCCGCAGAAGAAGCACCGGCUAACUCCGUGCCAGCAGCCGCGGUAAUACGGAGGGUGCAAGCGUUAAUCGGAAUUACUGGGCGUAAAGCGCACGCAGGCGGUUUGUUAAGUCAGAUGUGAAAUCCCCGGGCUCAACCUGGGAACUGCAUCUGAUACUGGCAAGCUUGAGUCUCGUAGAGGGGGGUAGAAUUCCAGGUGUAGCGAUGAAAUGCGUAGAGAUCUGGAGGAAUACCGGUGGCGAAGGCGGC